ACCGUGAUCGACAUGUAGAGCUUGUAACACGAGGAGGAAACACUCACUGCAGAGGGACCAAUAAAGUUUCAUCUCCCGUCUCCUCUGCAGCCACUUCUACAGGCCGUUUCUGUAAGUGAGAAUACAUUCUUUCUCCAUCUGCCAACUUAAAUAACCCUUUAAACUGUGUAAUGCACUAAUGAAGACGGAUGGAUCCGUGUAUGCGAGAGCUCCUC
rnacentral:lncRNA from 1 species